rnacentral:sRNA from 1 species
CCCCGUAGCCCUUCCUGGGCGUUUCCUCCCUAGACUUGGGCCAUGCCGGUUACGGCAUGGCCCCUUUUUUGCCCGAA